GCGGGCGUGGCGAAAUGGUAGACGCACCGGACUUAAAAUCCGUUGGGAGCAAUCCUGUGCCGGUUCAAGUCCGGCCGCCCGCACCA
rnacentral:tRNA from 1 species